rnacentral:piRNA from 1 species
UGAGACAGUAUCUCUUGUUCAUGGAUGAC